ACGAACGCUGGCGGCGUGCCUAACACAUGCAAGUCGAACGGUUCAGGAGGCAAGAAACGAGAAGCGCGAGGCAAGAGAACAAGAGGGAUUGGUUUUUGGCCAAUUUCAGCUAAGGAGAUUUGCUUCAUGCGUCUGGUUUCUUGUCUCCUGGAUAGUGGCGGACGGGUGAGUAACGCGUGGGUAACCUGCCUAUCAGAAAGGGAUAACACCGGGAAGCUGGUGUUAAUACCAGAUACGCUUUAGAGGAGGCAUCUUCUUUAAAGGAAAGGACAACCGCUGAUAGAUGGGCCCGCGUCCCAUUAGCUAGUUGGUAGGUAGAGGCCUACCAAGGCGACGAUGGGUAGCC
rnacentral:rRNA from 1 species